UACGUAGGGGGCAAGCGUUGUCCGGAAUUAUUGGGCGUAAAGAGCUCGUAGGCGGUUUGUCGCGUCUGCCGUGAAAGUCCGAGGCUCAACUCCGGAUCUGCGGUGGGUACGGGCAGACUAGAGUGAUGUAGGGGAGACUGGAAUUCCUGGUGUAGCGGUGAAAUGCGCAGAUAUCAGGAGGAACACCGAUGGCGAAGGCAGGUCUCUGGGCAUUAACUGACGCUGAGGAGCGAAAGCAUGGGGAGCGAACAGG
rnacentral:rRNA from 1 species